rnacentral:rRNA from 1 species
UCUUGGGUUGUAACCCCUUUUCUCAGGGAAGAAGAACUGACGGUACCUGAGGAAUAAGCAUCGGCUAACUCCGUGCCAGCAGCCGCGGUAAGACGGAGGAUGCAAGCGUUAUCCGGAAUUAUUGGGCGUAAAGCGUUCGUAGGUGGCUGUUCAAGUCUGCCGUUAAAGACCGGGGCUUAACUCCGGAAAAACUGUGGAAACUGAACAGCUAGAGUAUGGUAGGGGUAAGGGGAAUUCCUGGUGUAGCGGUGAAAUGCGUAGAUAUCAGGAAGAACACCGGUGGCAAAGGCGCCUUACUGGGCCAUAACUGACACUGAGGGACGAAAGCUAGGGGAGCGAAAGGGAUUA